UGUGUGAUGAAGUCUGAGCAGUAAUCACACACCGACAGUAAUCUGAGCACGAGAGUCUCAUCACACACACACACACACACACACACACUCUUACUGCCCUUGAUUUAGUGUAAUGUAGAGAAUCAAAAACCUGUAACGACUGAUCGAACGCUGACAUACAGAUCAUCCUGGAAAACAAUUCAAUCAGGACUGUAUCUGCUAGAAAUCUUCAUUCAUUCUGCUUUUAUAUGAACUUAACACUGCAUUUAAUUCUUUUAAAUAUUAAAAUACUGUAUACAGGUUAAGAGAACAUUAAUAUAAAACAUUUAUUUCUUAUUAAAAAAUCUUUUAUGUUUUUACAAACAAUCAGGGUCUUUUCUGCACCUGCAUUUUAUAAAGCAAGUUUUUGCAUGUGUUUUGCAAAAGAAAAUGUAUAAUUAAAUUUUUGCAUGCACUUUGCAUGCAUUAGAAAUUGCAGUUGCAUUUUUUAGCUGGAAAAAAGAGGUAUGGUGUAUAUUACUACUAUAUUACUAUUACUACGGUACAUAUCGUCACAUGAGCUCACUGUGCUUAUUUCAGUCAAUCAGAUACAAACACACUCCAGCCAUCUGAGAUGAUUCGCUUGAGGAUUUCCAGAAGUGAAACUCUAAAAUAUCAUCAGCCAGUCAGCCUUUUGAUUAUCAGCAGAGCGUCAGCUAAAACUAGCUAAAAACGACCGCUUAGACGUAAAGAAGGACAGUGCUCAUAACCACUCAUUUAAUCCAGCAGGUCCACUGGAGAAGAUGUGGCUUCUCAGGGAAACAGACGCUGCUCUGACUGAAGCCCAUCAACAGAUCUCAAGCACAAAACACAUCAAACACACAGAGACGGUCCAUCAGAGACGGAGACCAGCUCGAAACCACGACUGCAUGUGUACGCUCAUAUAAAACUGAACACGGCUCCUCAGUGACUCACAACUCAUGGGUCUGAAACAAACACAAGGAGGAUCUGACGCUUGUGUGAUAUCUGCUGGACACACGAGCUGUUGGUGGAGCUCUGAUGAAGUCUUACUGAAUCAUUCAUGUAUCGAGGUCACGGCCACGGCGUGCUCAAACAGGAACAACGCUCGGCCUUCUCUUCUCAUGGAGAAAUAAGCACUAGAUUGAUCUGCUCAUAUCUGCCCCAGCAGAGGUUUUCACUGGAAAGCAAAUGAUGUUCACUGAUGGACUGGAGUGCUGUGGAUUAUUGUGAUGUUUUUAUCAGACUCUCAUUCUGACGGCACCCAUUCACUGCAGAGCAUCCAUUGAUGAGACAUUUCUACAAACCUGAUGAAGAAACACACUCAUCCUGAUCUCACUGAACUGAUGCAUGUUUGGCUAGAUCCACAAUAACAACAAGAAGAGGAAAAUGAGGUGGAUGUUGAUUCCCAG